GUGCUUGCACCGGGUGGAUGAGUGGCGAACGGGUGAGUAAUACGUGAGUGACCUGCCUUUGACUCUGGGAUAAGCCUGGGAAACUGGGUCUAAUACCGGAUGCGACUACUGCCCGCAUGGGCUGGUGGUGGAAAGGGUUAUGUACUGGUCUUAGAUGGGCUCACGGCCUAUCAGCUGGUUGGUGGGGUAAUGGCCUACCAAGGCGACGACGGGUAGCCGGCCUGAGAGGGUGACCGGCCACACUGGGACUGAGACACGGCCCAGACUCCUACGGGAGGCAGCAGUGGGGAAUAUUGCACAAUGGGCGCAAGCCUGAUGCAGCGACGCCGCGUGAGGGAUGACGGCCUUCGGGUUGUAAACCUCUUUCAGCAGGGAAGAAGCGGAAGUGACGGUACCUGCAGAAGAAGCGCCGGCUAACUACGUGCCAGCAGCCGCGGUAAUACGUAGGGCGCAAGCGUUGUCCGGAAUUAUUGGGCGUAAAGAGCUCGUAGGCGGCUUGUCGCGUCUGCUGUGAAAGCCCGGGGCUUAACUCCGGGUGUGCAGUGGGUACGGGCAGGCUAGAGUGCAGUAGGGGUAACUGGAAUUCCUGGUGUAGCGGUGAAAUGCGCAGAUAUCAGGAGGAACACCGAUGGCGAAGGCAGGUUACUGGGCUGUUACUGACGCUGAGGAGCGAAAGCAUGGGGAGCGAACAGGAUUAGAUACCCUGGUAGUCCAUGCCGUAAACGUUGGGCACUAGGUGUGGGGGACAUUCCACGUUUUCCGCGCCGUAGCUAACGCAUUAAGUGCCCCGCCUGGGGAGUACGGCCGCAAGGCUAAAACUCAAAGGAAUUGACGGGGGCCCGCACAAGCGGCGGAGCAUGCGGAUUAAUUCGAUGCAACGCGAAGAACCUUACCAAGGCUUGACAUACACCGGAUCGUUCCAGAGAUGGUUCUUCCCUUUUGGGCUGGUGUACAGGUGGUGCAUGGUUGUCGUCAGCUCGUGUCGUGAG
rnacentral:rRNA from 1 species